CCUACGGGAGGCAGCAGUAGGGAAUCUUCGGCAAUGGGGGGAACCCUGACCGAGCAACGCCGCGUGAGUGAAGAAGGUUUUCGGAUCGUAAAGCUCUGUUGUCAGCCAAGAACAGGUAUGAGAGUGGAAAGUUCAUACUAUGACGGUAACUGACCAGAAAGGGACGGCUAACUACGUGCCAGCAGCCGCGGUAAU
rnacentral:rRNA from 1 species